UCGUCCGGCCCAGCCAGACGGUGGCCUUGGCAGGCGGCACUGCAGCUUCGAUCCGGGCGGCGCGGCAUCAGCUCCGGCGCGCCGUGGGAGGGAAGAGCGGCGACCCGACGAGCUACAGGAUCCAGGCCACGCCGAGGCUGUCUCGCUCUACGUUAACCAUGAUUUCGUGUGCUAUGUUUUGUCGCAGCGGGAGGAGGUGGUGGUGGAGCUCGAGAGGGGGGGACCUCAAGGUGUUCGACGAUUUGCUCAAGUGGGCGUCGCGCGUGGAGAAACAUCAAACUUCCACAUGGUUUUUGGGCUAGCCAUGGUAGAAGACUGAAGGUUGGUUUCAUGAGACUGGCUGCAGUACUGAAGAAUCAAAUUAAAGUGAAUACUUCAGUGUGUUUCUUGCGACGCACUGCGUUACACGUUGAUUCCAGGGGAUCCUCUGAAGGCGUGGUGCACCACUGCUUUGACAUACAGCAACGCGCUUGAUGCCGAGCGGGUACCGUCAUCCUGUCGAGGCAUCGUGCGUGCAGUUCGUCAUCGAAUCAAUCCAAGGAGCCAAGAGCAUUGAAUACCCCUUGAGAAUGUGAGGAGUCAAGGGCUGAUCAAACACCAGAAUCAUAAGAUUCUGGGCUCUGGAGCAGUGGAGAUUGCUCUACAGAGCACUAGCUUUUUCUUUCCCCUCUCUUGUUUUACCAGGUGAGAGCUGUCAAGGGAGAUAUAGAGGAUAAGGAUAUCAUUCUCUUGUCCUUGUGCUGGAUGUUUGCGUCAUGCAUUAAAAUAUAUAUAAAAAAUAAAAUAAAAUGUCAGAUAAUAUCGUACUUUCUGCUGAUGCCUUCAGCAUCAUACAGGUAGCAACAGUGACAUCGCAUCUUUUCCUCUCACUCUCUCUCUAACCUUGUUAGCUUUAGCCCUUAGAGAAGUUUUGCAGGAGGAAUUCAGCGAGGAUAUUGAAAAGCAAGAUUGCACCGUCGGAUUUCGGCAUCGCAGCGCCUCAUAUCUGAUAAGGUCAGGCCGAUGAUGAUGUGGUUUGCAAAGCAGAGGCAGCUAAAUCUUCAGGAAAAAAAAAGCAGGCAAGUUGGACAUAUUCCGUGCCACCGAUAAGGUAGAGAGAGCGAGCUGUGCAUGCUGGAUGCUAUUCUGAACCUGAGGGCACUGAUCCCUGGUUACUUCGAAAGCAACUCGAUCAGCUGGCUGGAAUCAGUUCCAUGUGUCGCAAGAUGGAGCGUGGCGGCCGUACCGUCUCAGUAUUGGCCGUCGCCGUCGGUUAUUGUCGUCGUUCGCCGACAAAUUCUCUGUAGAAAUGUGCUUGGAGUUGAAGAGUAGCUAAGCUGGCACCAUGGUAUUUUCAGGCCGAAGUAUAGGCAUGCACUGGUAUAGUACUGGUAUCACACUGUAUCUGGUCUCACCAAUGCAAAUUUGCAAUCUAGGACUUUCAGUCAUCUAGCUAGCACAUGCAUUGCAAGGUUGUGCUUCCAUAUCUUUGUCACUGUAGGCAUAUAUUUGUGCAUUACUCAUCCUGAUCAUUGACUCAAUAUGUGAUCUGAUCAAGAAACAGAAAAGGGGAGAUACUGAUAUAUGGAAUAUAUCUUGUAUAUGAUGAUUGUGUUACUCUACUAAGCUUUGUGCUUGUAGAAAUACCAAGCAAUUGGUGUGCUGCUGUAAUUGGUCAAAAGGAUUAUACUCCACAUGUAUGAUUGUACCUAACUGAUCACAGUACUUUCUUCAGUCA